rnacentral:rRNA from 1 species
CAGCCGCCGCGGUAAUACGUAGGUGGCAAGCGUUGUCCGGAAUUAUUGGGCGUAAGGGCUCGUAGGCGGUUUCUUAAGUCUGAUGUGAAAGUCCCCGGCUCAACCGGGGAGGGUCAUUGGAAACUGGGAAACUUGAGUGCAGAAGAGGAGAGUGGAAUUCCACGUGUAGCGGUGAAAUGCGUAGAGAUGUGGAGGAACACCAGUGGCGAAGGCGACUCUCUGGUCUGUAACUGACGCUGAGGAGCGAAAGCGUGGGGAGCGAACAGGAUUAGAUACCCCCGUAGUCCCUGUCUCUUAUACA